UACGAAGGGGGCAAGCGUUGUUCGGAAUUACUGGGCGUAAAGGGCGCGUAGGCGGCUUCGAUAGUCGGGUGUGAAAUGCCUGGGCUCAACCCAGGAACUGCACUCGAAACUCCGAGGCUAGAGUGUGGGAGAGGAUAGUGGAAUUCCCAGUGUAGAGGUGAAAUUCGUAGAUAUUGGGAAGAACACCGGUGGCGAAGGCGGCUAUCUGGACCACAACUGACGCUGAGGCGCGAAAGCGUGGGGAGCAAACAGG
rnacentral:rRNA from 1 species